rnacentral:rRNA from 1 species
AUGCAGUCGAACGAACUUAAUCGUUAGUUUACUAAUGAAGCGGUUAGUGGCGGACUGGUGAGUAACACGUAAGCAACCUGCCUAUUAGAGGGGAACAACAGUUAGAAAUGACUGCUAAUACCACAUAUGCCAUAAGUAUCGCAUGAUACAAGUGGGAAAGGAGCAAUCCGCUAAUAGAUGGGCUUGCGUCUGAUUAGAUAGUUGGUGGGGUAACGGCCUACCAAGUCGACGAUCAGUAGCCGAGUUGAGAGACUCUACGGCCACAUUGGGACUGAGAUACGGCCCAGACUCCUACGGGAGGCAGCAGUCGGGAAUAUUGCGCAAUGGAGGAAACUCUGACGCAGUGACGCCGCGUGCAGGAAGAAGGUUUUCGGAUUGUAAACUGCUUUAGACAGGGAAGAAAAAGACAGUACCUGUAGAAUAAGCUCCGGCUAACUACGUGCCAGCAGCCGCGGUAAUACGUAGGGAGCAAGCGUUAUCCGGAUUUAUUGGGUGUAAAGGGUGCGUAGACGGGAAAAUAAGUUAGUUGUGAAAUCCCCAUGCUUAACAUGGGAACUGCAACUAAAACUGUUUUUCUUGAGUGCUGGAGAGGAAAGUGGAAUUCCUAGUGUAGCGGUGAAAUGCGUAGAUAUUAGGAGGAACACCAGUGGCGAAGGCGACUUUCUGGACAGUAACUGACGUUGAGGCACGAAAGUGUGGGGAGCAAACAGGAUUAGAUACCCUGGUAGUCCACACCGUAACGAUGGAUACUAGGUGUAGGGUGUGAUAAACGCUCUGUGCCGUCGCAAACGCAGUAAGUAUCCCACCUGGGGAGUACGGCCGCAAGGUUGAAACUCAAAGGAAUUGACGGGGGCCCGCACAAGCAGUGG